AUUGAACGCUGGCGGCAUGCCUUACACAUGCAAGUCGAACGGCAGCACGGGAGCAAUCCUGGUGGCGAGCGGCGAACGGGUGAGUAAUAUAUCGGAACGUGCCCAGUCGUGGGGGAUAACGCAGCGAAAGUUGUGCUAAUACCGCAUACGAUCUAUGGAUGAAAGCGGGGGAUCGCAAGACCUCGCGCGAUUGGAGCGGCCGAUAUCAGAUUAGGUUGUUGGUGAGGUAAAAGCUCACCAAGCCUGCGAUCUGUAGCUGGUCUGAGAGGACGACCAGCCACACUGGAACUGAGACACGGUCCAGACUCCUACGGGAGGCAGCAGUGGGGAAUUUUGGACAAUGGACGCAAGUCUGAUCCAGCAAUGCCGCGUGAGUGAAGAAGGCCCUCGGGUUGUAAAGCUCUUUUGUCCGGAAAGAAAAGCGCCGGGUUAAUACCCUGGUGUCCUGACGGUACCGGAAGAAUAAGCACCGGCUAACUUCGUG
rnacentral:rRNA from 1 species